rnacentral:rRNA from 1 species
GAUGAACGCUGACAGAAUGCUUAACGCAUGCAAGUCUUUGGCGAAGCUGUGCUUGCACAGCCUAGCCAAGGCGGACGGGUGAGUAACGCGUAAGGAACUUGCCCUGCAGUCAGGGAUAACAGACGGAAACGACUGAUAAGACCUGGUAAAGUCAGGCGGACUCAUGUCCAGCCUGAAGAAAAGAGAUGCUGCAGGAGAGCCUUGCGUCCUAUUAGCUUGUUGGUGGGGUAACGGCCCACCAAGGCGAUGAUAGGUAGCCGGCCUGAGAGGGUGGACGGCCACAAGGGGACUGAGAUACGGCCCUUACUCCUACGGGAGGCAGCAGUGGGGAAUAUUGGACAAUGGGGGCAACCCUGAUCCAGCAAUUCUGUGUGCACGAUGAAGGUUUUCGGAUUGUAAAGUGCUUUCAGCAGGGAAGAAAAAAAUGACGGUACCUGCAGAAGAAGCGACGGCUAAAUACGUG